UACGUAGGGACCAAGCGUUGUUCGGAUUUACUGGGCGUAAAGGGCGCGUAGGCGGCAAUUCAAGUCAGCUGUGAAAUCUCUGGGCUUAACCCAGAACGGCCAGCUGAUACUGCUUUGCUAGAGUGCAGAAGGGGCAAUCGGAAUUCUCGGUGUAGCGGUGGAAUGCGUAGAUAUCGAGAGGAACACCUGAGGUGAAGACGGGUUGCUGGGCUGACACUGACGCUGAGGCGCGAAAGCCAGGGGAGCAAACGGG
rnacentral:rRNA from 1 species